CGAGGGCCAGCAUUUUUGUAGCAAUAGAAGAGAUGGCGACCGGCGCACGGGUGAGUAACACGUAUCCAACCUACCGAUAACUCGGGGAUAGCCUUUCGAAAGAAAGAUUAAUAUCGGAUAGUAUACGAAUAUCGCAUGAUAUUUUUAUUAAAGAAUUUCGGUUAUCGAUGGGGAUGCGUUCCAUUAGUUUGUUGGCGGGGUAACGGCCCACCAAGACUACGAUGGAUAGGGGUUCUGAGAGGAAGGUCCCCCACAUUGGAACUGAGACACGGUCCAAACUCCUACGGGAGGCAGCAGUGAGGAAUAUUGGUCAAUGGACGAGAGUCUGAACCAGCCAAGUAGCGUGAAGGAUGACUGCCCUAUGGGUUGUAAACUUCUUUUAUAUGGGAAUAAAGUAUUCCACGUGUGGAAUUUUGUAUGUACCAUAUGAAUAAGGAUCGGCUAACUCCGUGCCAGCAGCCGCGGUAAUACGGAGGAUCCGAGCGUUAUCCGGAUUUAUUGGGUUUAAAGGGAGCGUAGGUGGAUUGUUAAGUCAGUUGUGAAAGUUUGCGGCUCAACCGUAAAAUUGCAGUUGAAACUGGGAGUCUUGGAGUACAGUAGAGGUGGGCGGAAUUCGUG
rnacentral:rRNA from 1 species